rnacentral:rRNA from 1 species
AGAGUUUGAUCCUGGCUCAGAAUCAACGCUGGCGGCGUGCCUAACACAUGCAAGUCGAGCGAGAAAGUGGUAGCAAUACCAUGAGUAAAGCGGCGCACGGGUGAGUAACACGUGACUAACCUACCCCGGAGUGGGGAAUAACCCGCCGAAAGGCGGGCUAAUACCGCAUAACACCUACGGGUCAAAGGAGCAAUUCGCUC